UCGGUCGAUUUUAAGGUGGACCGUGUCAACCCAGAAAGGUACAAGAUCAAGUGUGUCCAUCCUGACUGUAUGCUCAAGCUCACUGCAUCAUACAAAUUAAGAGGUGACUGUUGGGUCAUAGGUUCUAUGACUACCCACACUUGUGUAAGUUCUACCCAAUCACAGGACCAUCAAAAACUUAAUUACGAUCUCAUUUGUCAAGAAAUCCUACCACUGGUCAGCAAUGACCCAUCUUUGAAGGUGAAAACCAUUAUCUCCCACAUCACCACGGUUUUUAACUAUACUUCGUCUUACCGUAAGGCGUGGUUAGCAAAGACCAAGGCGAUUGAAAAGGUGUACGGAAACUGG